rnacentral:piRNA from 1 species
GACCAAGAUAGAGAAGAUGCUAACUGG